GGAGCUCCUUGUACUCCGACUGAGUACCUUCCGUUGACGGAUGCUCCUAGCGCUUCCUGAGGACUCCAAGCAGUGCAGCAGACACCACAACCACCACAGACUCCACAACCGCUUGACUGGAGUCUCGCCGUCUUCCUUCCACCCUGGAUCGGCUUCUGUCCUCCAGGACUGUGUGGAAAAGUACUCUUCCUUCCACCCUGUAUGAACCUCCAGCAUCCAGGACUGUGUGGUGAAGAUCCUUCCUCCAAGGAGAGUGUGUCAG